rnacentral:lncRNA from 1 species
CAGCACUCUUGCUUUGGAGGGAAAAUGCGGAGUGCCCGCAUGAUUCUGCACAGGAAGCUCCAUUUUCAAGAUGGGUGAUUUGGCCAUGGGAUGAGGACCCAGUAUGGGAUCCCCUCCUCAGCCGCAGAAGAGGAGCAAGGCCUUGAGAGGGGGCUGGAAGCAGAGAGACCCGACGCCUGGAUUCAGGCAUCAGGGAGGCACUUUAGGAGGCUUUUCCUGGCGGCCACUCCAUGGAGGAGGCGGGAGGAGCCAGGGCUGGAGAGGCUGCCCCCAUGAUGGACUCAGGAGGAGGGAUUUCAGCGACCAUGUGAAAAGGACUCAGGGGCU